ACGAACGCUGGCGGCGUGCCUAAUACAUGCAAGUUGAGCGCUGAAGGUUGGUACUUGUACCCACUGGAUGAGCAGCGAACGGGUGAGUAACGCGUGGGGAAUCUGCCUUUGAGCGGGGGACAACAUUUGGAAACGAAUGCUAAUACCGCAUAAAAACUUUAAACACAAGUUUUAAGUUUGAAAGAUGCAAUUGCAUCACUCAAAGAUGAUCCCGCGUUGUAUUAGCUAGUUGGUGAGGUAAAGGCUCACCAAGGCGAUGAUACAUAGCCGACCUGAGAGGGUGAUCGGCCACAUUGGGACUGAGACACGGCCCAAACUCCUACGGGAGGCAGCAGUAGGGAAUCUUCGGCAAUGGACGAAAGUCUGACCGAGCAACGCCGCGUGAGUGAAGAAGGUUUUCGGAUCGUAAAACUCGGUUGGUAGAGAAGAACGUUGGUGAGAGUGGAAAGCUCAUCAAGUGACGGUAACUACCCAGAAAGGGACGGCUAACUACGUG
rnacentral:rRNA from 1 species